CCGCCCCGGCUCCUCUUGCGGUUCCCCCCGGCCUGCGCGGAGCUCCACCACCCGCCCUGGCGCCGGCGGCCCCGCGUCGUCAACAGCGCGAGGUGUCGGGUGGCCCAGGGUGUUUGGGCCGCACCGGGAGGCUGUUGGAAUGACAAGGACGUCCCCGGGGCCAAACGAAAACAACCCCACCCCCUGCGGCGCCACCCGGCUGGGAGCGGAGAGAGACUGACGGCGGAGGCGGGGGUCAGGGCGCGGACCCGGACCCCAGCCCCAUGGGGGACAGAGUCCAAAAAAACCGGCCGGGUGGAGGAUGCAGCCGGGCGUGGUGGCUACAAGGAAGUGCCCUGGUGUUAAGAACUCAGCCUCUGAAACCCGCCGCCCAGCUUCGAGUCAGCGACGUACUUUUGUUGUCCCGGCCUUAGUAUCCCCGCUGCAAUAAGAGGUACUCAGCUCAAACCAUCUGGGUGAG
rnacentral:lncRNA from 1 species